UACGUAGGGUGCAAGCGUUUGUCCGGAAUUAUUGGGCGUAAAGAGCUCGUAGGUGGCCUGUCGCGUCGGCUGUGAAAACUCGGGGCUCAACUCCGAGCUUGCAGUCGAUACGGGCAGGCUAGAGUUCGGCAGGGGAGACUGGAAUUCCUGGUGUAGCGGUGAAAUGCGCAGAUAUCAGGAGGAACACCGGUGGCGAAGGCGGGUCUCUGGGCCGAUACUGAUACUGAGGAGCGAAAGCGUGGGGAGCGAACAGG
rnacentral:rRNA from 1 species